rnacentral:lncRNA from 12 species
GCAACCUUCAAAUCUGCUUGUGCCAAAUGGAAGAGGUGUAGGGAGCUCUGGAUGUGUUUUCUCCCUCUGGAAGACUGCUGUGUGUUGUGGUGCCUCUCAGGCAGGAAGAUUGAGAGAGAGUGGGACAUCACUGGGAUCCUUCGGCUUGGUGUUGAGAGAAAAGAAAAUUCCAGAACCCUAAAUUCUUC